UUAAUUGAAACCAAAAAGAGGUAUAUCACUGUUAAUGAUACUAUUGAGAUAAACUCCGAUUAAA
rnacentral:tRNA from 1 species